rnacentral:lncRNA from 1 species
UAGUACAUAAUUGUGUGUGCGUGUGCGCGUGCACAUGUGCGUGUGCACGCUCGCUCAAACAGCAGGGUUUAGGGAGGGUGGAGCGCGUCACGAUGCAGGACUCUAGACGAUUCCAGGAUACUGUAUGUGGAUCCCGCAGGAGAAAAAGAGAGGAAGAGAGAACCUGCUUAGAAUUUCACCUCCGGAUUCGGAAUGUUUCGGAAUGUUUCGGAAUCGCCUCUACUGUGGAAUAUCUGCCUCGACCGAUGGCACAGGACUUUUGGCCAAGCAGAGAACCCCAUGGUCAGACAGAUGGCCCUAGCAGGCACUCCGCAGCAGGCACUAGCCUCGUCAGAUGGCCAGGGGCUGGGGCACCGUCAAACUGAAGGAGGCAGCCGGCAGGCAGAGGGAUGGACGUUUCAGAUCUGUUGCCUUGUCUUAAUGGACAAGAGGCCCUCUGGGUCACCAGGAAGAUGCAUGGGUAAUAGGGUUUGGGUGUUAGCAUGGUGGCUUAUGGGCAGUAGUGGGACUGUGACCUUUACUGAGUGCAUGUCUAUGUGCAUGCUUGUGUGCGUGCUUGUGAUGAGAAGCAGCUGGAGGGUAAAGCUCCCUCCUUUGGGUGAUCCCAGCUGCAUGCCCUGUCACUGCAAUGACUGAGGCCAUUGUUCUUCUACAAAGAUGAGGCUAGGGCAAGAUCAGCUAACUGGUUCGAGAUCAGCUAACUGGUUCGAGAUCAGCUAACUGGGGCUAGAUCAGCUAACUGGGGCUAAAUCAGCUAACUGGGGCUAGAUCAGCUAACUGGGGCUAAAUCAGCUAACUGUGGGUAGAUCAGCUAACUGGGGCUAAAUCAGCUAACUGGGGGUAGAUCAGCUAACUGGGGCUAGAUCAGCUAACUGGUUCGAGAUCAGCUAACUGGGGCUAGAUCACCUAACUGGGGCUAAAUCAGCUAACUGGGGCUAGAUCAGCUAACUGGGGCUAAAUCAGCUAACUGGGGGUAGAUCAGCUAACUGGGGCUAGAUCAGCUAACUGGUGCGAGAUCAGCUAACUGGGGAUAGAUCAGCUAACUGGGGCUAAAUCAGCUAACUUUGGUUAAUCCUACUUCCAUACAGGCCAUAUUAACUCUGGCUCUGGGUGUGAGGGUUAAGGAUUUGCUAUGCACUGGAUCGCACUUAUGUGAUUUUUUUAUCAUACUGUCAACAUACGUACAGCGUACAGCGGAAUAUCACUCCACAGACAGACACACAUUUACAGCACAACCAGGACGUCUCACAAGGCCCAUAUCAGCACCAGAGGUUAUAGGGAGGUCAGCCUGUCUGACUUUGACCAGAAUCCCCAUCCCCCACCCACCCAUCCAGCCAUGUGUAACUGGACCUGGCCUGGCAACCCCCUCCCUGUUCUCUGCUCUCCUCUCUCUGGGCUGGUAUAAAUAGAUGUCCAUGCCUGCUCCCUCCCUUAACCCAGGGGGCCAAGAAGCCAUUCUUCCCUUUUUAAACACUCUGACGUGUCUGUCUGGAUGCCUCCUGUCUGCACCUGGUUACCUCUCUGGACUACACACACACACACACCAAUAGACACACACACCCACACACGCACAUCACACACACAAGCACACAAGCAUACACACACAAACACGUACAGACACACACACACACAUCAGUCUACAGAAGCUCUGUGGCAGGGGGAGUGCAGACAGGGGUGUACGUUUGAGGAGAAGGGCUUUGGUUUUGACUGUAGAGACAUGUAAAUGUCCCACUGGUGACCUGGUCUACACACUGAGCUCUGUGUCCAGGCACUUCAUGCCCUCCAGCUCAGGUUUCCACACUAAACCGACAGAGCUACCUGACAAGCUGCUGUGAGCAUGAUGGAGGGAGGAGGCAGAGGAAGGAGGAGGGAGGAGGAAGAAGGAGGAGGAGGAGGGAGGAGGUGGUAGGCCAGUGUAUUCCUCUCUCUGGCUCAUUAGGGAGCAGGUGAGAAACAGGGAGGAGGCGGUAGGCCAGUGUAUUCCUCUCUCUGCUCAUUAGGGAGCAGGUGAGAAACAGGGAGGAGGCGGUAGGCCAGUGUAUUCCUCUCUCUGCUCAUUAGGGAGCAGGUGAGAAACAGGGAGGAGGUGGUAGGCCAGUGUAUUCCUCUCUCUGCUCAUUAGGGAGCAGGUGAGAAACAGGGAGGAGGCGGUAGGCCAGUGUAUUCCUCUCUCUGCUCAUUAGGGAGCAGGUGAGAAACAGGGAGGAGGCGGUAGGCCAGUGUAUUCCUCUCUCUGCUCAUUAGGGAGCAGGUGAGAAACAUUAACAGCAGCAGCUGCACUGCUCUGCACAUGUGGUAGAGGGCUUGAGCUAGCCCACCCCACUGUCUGUCUGUCCACCAGUGGAAACUCACUCCUCUCUGGGGAAUGCCUAGUGUACACCAGUUACCAGGAGUACAUUUAGUAAAGGCUUCUUGGACACACAUUAAGCCCAGUCCUGUACUAAAUAGCUCUUUAAAUGGAGAUUCUCUAUUAAAUAUGUUUUUUACUUCUGGAUUAGGCUUAAUCUGUGUCUGGAAAACUGUCCCAUUGAGUAACUAAGAGUUACACUUCAGACAAUCCCAGUAUCUCUGUCUCAGACUGGUUAGAGGUGAAUGAAUCUGUGAUUAUGUGUUUAUCUUUAAUUCUUUCAACAACAAAAAAAGAAAGAAAGAAAGUUCCACACUCUGCUCCCAACAAUUUAACGAGUAAACAUAACCAACGUUGCAGCACGCAGUUACAACAUUAAUGCUUCCACCAGGUUGCUUUUCACUAUGUUUUAAUCCUAACCAUUUUUCUGUGUUUACUGAGGUGUUGUUGAAGCUGUCCUCCUGACUUGGCUGACUGGGACCAUGGUACUGGAGGACCAGAGUAGACUGACGGGUCUAUCACUGUCCUUUGGGGUGAGGUAGUAGGUUGUAUAGUUUUAGGGUCAUACCCUUCCUGUCAGAUAACUAUACAACUUACUGUCUUUCCUGAGGUGGCUGUAAUAUCAUCCAUUAUCUCUGCAGAGCUCUCGUCACUUGGACCUCGAUAGGAAUAUGUAUUAUGUACUAAUUCAAGUUGAUAACACGUUUGUAAUGUCAUUUAUAUUGUAUGUUUGCAUCAUUUGGUUCUGUUCUGGCUCUUUGUAUACUGUAUUUAUUAUUUUGCCGUGAAACGGCUCUGCCUCUCUGAUGUUCGCACGGGGUGAGGUAGUAGGUUGUGUGGUUUCAGGGUAGUGAUUUUGCCCCAUCAGGAGAUAACUAUACAAUUUACUGCCUUCCCUGAAGGGCAGCAAGACUACACCAGACAACAGCAGAGGCCAGCGUUGGCACCACAUGAUAAUCUAGCAUUGAAAAUAGGUAUCUAUUUAGGUAUCUAGGUAUUAAACAGUUAUCUAUCUGUUAAUCAGCUCCAGAGGACACAGAAGCAUUUCAGGUAAAGUCUACUGACAAUCUAUGAUACCAUGUAGCUAACAUGUUAUUGGAUAACUUUGAAAUUGUAUGUAUUCAAAUGAGUAAUAAAAAGUAUUAUUUUAUAAAUGUCAUCCAUACCUUGUCUGUCUUUUUGCUGUGUUUGGAUUUGUUAAAUGAUAAUAUUCAAAAGGCAUUCGCACAUCUGAGAUAUCUUUUUUGCAGGUGCAUGGUAAUAAGAUGAGAAAAAACUGCAACCCCAUUCGAUGCAUUGAACGGAUGUGGGUGGAGCUAUGUCUACAUAAGGGUGCUAAUUAAAAGAAACUCACAAAAGCUCUGACGAAGGCCUUGAGGCCGAUACGUAAAGCUUAUUGACGAGCAGUGAUACUAUUUUAAUUGAACUUGGCAAGUCAGUUAAGAACAAAUUCUUAUUUACAAUGACGGCCUACCCAGGCCAAACCCAGACAAUGCUGGGCUAAUUGUGCGCCACCCUAUUGGACUCCCAAUCACGGCCUAAAGUGAUACAGCCUGAUUUCAAACCAGGGACUGUAGUGAUGCCUCUGGCAUGAGAUGCAGUGCCUUAGACCGCUGCGCCACUCAGGAGCCAUACUAGCAAGAGCAGUGUGCGGGUUUGUUCUUUUUUUCUCAUCUUAAAUGACAAUAUGAAAAUCUUUGAUGCGUAUGUGCAUCAAAUGUGGGUAAGAGGGACCUGCUAAAUGACAAAAAUAACUGUUUUCAUUAACUGUGUUCUUGCUUCAUUAAAG